UUUUUUCCCCCCAGACAUAUCCUUGUAAUUUCUUUUUUUUUGCAGUUCUUUGGAGUUGUUCUCUGGAAAAUUUCCUGAAAUUGCCAAGAAUCUGCCGCUUUCAAUAAUAUCAACUCUGAAAGAGAGAGAAAGGCUAGGAGAGACCACGGGGGACAGAAGUGUUGAUUGCCGCCCAUGGCCAUGCUGGUUUCUUUUCUUCCCCUGUGUAAAGACUGCUGGCUUGGUAUCUCUGGACUCUACAGGUAGAACAUUUCCUGCUGAGAAACAUAUUUGAGUACGAUGAGCAUUUUAAAAAGAGCAUGAAUCUGUUCGCCAUCUGGGGAGGCAAGAAUUAUUCUUCUGUGUUCAGCAUGAAUUCAGGUGAGUUCAGGAGAGGGGGAGCAGUGAAUUUGCUAUAAAUU
rnacentral:lncRNA from 1 species